UACGUAGGGGGCAAGCGUUAUCCGGAUUUACUGGGUGUAAAGGGAGCGUAGACGGCGAUGCAAGCCAGAUGUGAAAGCCCGGGGCUCAACCCCGGGACUGCAUUUGGAACUGUAUAGCUAGAGUGUCGGAGAGGCAGGCGGAAUUCCUAGUGUAGCGGUGAAAUGCGUAGAUAUUAGGAGGAACACCAGUGGCGAAGGCGGCCUGCUGGACGAUGACUGACGCUGAGGCUCGAAAGCGUGGGGAGCAAACAGG
rnacentral:rRNA from 1 species